rnacentral:rRNA from 1 species
GACGAACGCUGGCGGCGUGCUUAACACAUGCAAGUCGAACGGAAAGGCCCCUUUGGGGGUACUCGAGUGGCGAACGGGUGAGUAACACGUGAGUAACCUGCCCUUGACUUCGGGAUAACUUCAGGCAACUGGGGCUAAUACCGGAUAGGAAUCCUUGCUGCAUGGUGGGGGUUGGAAAGCUUCGGCGGUUUUGGAUGGACUCGCGGCUUAUCAGCUUGUUGGUGGGGUAGUGGCUUACCAAGGCUUUGACGGGUAGCCGGCCUGAGAGGGCGACCGGCCACAUUGGGACUGAGAUACGGCCCAGACUCCUACGGGAGGCAGCAGUGGGGAAUAUUGCACAAUGGGCGGAAGCCUGAUGCAGCAACGCCGCGUGCGGGAUGACGGCCUUCGGGUUGUAAACCGCUUUCAGCAGGGGCGAAGCUUGUGGUGACGGUACCUGCAGAAGAAGCACCGGCUAACUACGUG